UUAUGGAUUUUUAGGAUUUCAGUCAAAGCAUCUGACGUCUUCCCCGUUCUGCCUGCCUUCUGUCUAAACAGGGUCAUCAGUUUAGGAAGAUGUCGGUCAAGCUCAGAGUAGAAUGUGUUCGGCAGGUUCUGGUUUGUAAUCGGUUGGAACUCUGCAUACACCUACAUUUUAAAACAAAGACAGACAGACAACACGGCCAUAUUAACUAUGUGAAUCUGGUAAAUCUACUACUCUUCCAUAAGGCAGAAAACAACCCCUGAAUGUGGUAUAUGUUGUCCUCAGAUUUCAUUUUGAGUGCAGGCCAGAGUUCCAUAAGCUCUUUCACUGCAUGUCUUUAUGAUGGUUUGUCGCCGCAGGGGAAAUUUGGUUUGCAUCAUCUUUUUUAUAAGCGCACCAACACCACUAAUGAAGAGAAGUUGAAUGGAGAUAAAACAGGAGGUGCCAGCAUUAUGGGAUGGCGGUGUAAACUGUGUGCAUUUGUCGCAUCAUCAAAAGGAAUUUCGAUCAUUAUGGAGUGAAGCAUGGUACUGUUGGUGAUGAUAUUUAGUGUCCUGUGUUCAUUUAGACUGUCAUUGCUUCUUUAAGACCUGAGAAGGUCUGCACACACAUUUGUAUGGAUCCCACAGUUUGCAGGAAACUGAAGUGUGAAGGUGUGCAAUCUUUCAGAUGUAAAAUGUGACUCAUUAGAUUCUAAUACAAAAGUCUACUUUCCACAUGUUAACUGUAUAAUACUUGUGGCAGGAGUAUUGUUUCUGAAACUGUUUACUAAUAAGAUAAAUCCAGAUCUCUGUUUAUGAUCUUGUUACAUGUCAUUUGCAAA